AUCCAGUUGACGACUUCCAAAUAGGACGAAACGCGCGUUCUGGAU
rnacentral:hammerhead_ribozyme from 1 species